CCCGUCACAUCACGAAAGUGGAUUGUACUAGAAGUCUGCGCGCUAACCCGCAAGGGAGGCAGCGGCCCAAGGUAUGAUUCAUGAUUGGGUUG
rnacentral:rRNA from 1 species